ACAAAGGAUAAUCUAUACGUAUAGACAUCCCAACUCUUCUUCUUCUUCCAAACCAUCACACGGUGGGGAACCAAGAUAAUCGGAUUCCGUCCAUAAAUGUUGGGGGUGAUGUGGGUAGUCUAAGGGGAGUGAGUAAGCAUCCUAAAACAGAGAUGCGAUGAUGGCAUUAAAGGGAGUAUUUCUAACUCUUACUGAAGAACUAGAGGAGAGUGAGAGGUUUUGGAGAGGGAAAAGUAGGAAAUUGGAAGAGGGGAGCUGAGAGGGUGCUGGUGUGAUCGUCGAUUGGUAAAAAGGUAUGGGAGUGACUUCGAACACUUCGGAGGCUUAGGGAGGUAUUCUAGUUAGUUGGACUUGAGGUACUAGUAUGGAGGAACUUGAUGAUGGCCUGUCUCUAAAUGGAUAGCCAUAUCACGUGUGUGCUGGUUUCCUAGUUGUGCUUAGAAUAAAGUGUCUUCGUAUCUUAAAAGUAUGUUGUAAGAGUUGAACUCUUUAAACUAAUGAUGUAUUAAAUAAACAGGUUUAUGUGAACUUUUAGAUGGCUCUAGUUCCAUCAUACUUUUGUUGUGGGUUUUGUGUCAUUUGGCCAUUUGGGUGGGAUUUUGAGGGAGAAGGGUAGGUUUCA
rnacentral:sRNA from 1 species